CACCGCGGUUACACGAAAGACCCAAGUUGACAGACAACGGCGUAAAGAGUGGUUAGGGAUAUUUUGACUAAAGCCGAAGGCCCUCAAAGCAGUUAUACGCUCACGAGAGUACGAAGCCCACCUACGAAAGUGGCUUUAUUAACCCCUGAACCCACGAAAGCUAUGGUA
rnacentral:rRNA from 1 species